UUUAACCUAGUUUUGUCUACUUUGGUGCUCCCGCUAUCCAUUGCUGGAAACAAAUAGCGGCUAGGGUUUGUCUUUGUUGUUGCAUUCCCAAUUUUUUCUUCUUUUGUGUCAAACCGUUCUUCUCUCUGUUCUUACACUCUCACUCUGUGAGUCUCCUAUCCAUUAUACGCCAUGUUUCUUACAUAAUCAAAUUUGGAAAGAUUUUGGGAUUCUUUGUCAGAAUGAAGCAAUACCCUACUCCUAUUUUUUCUUCCUAAGCAGAGUUCAAGGAAAUUCGCCUUCAAUUGGUUAUUCUGAAAUCGUCACUUGUCAUGAAAGUUGAGUGCUUUCUUCAUCUCAUACAAAUAGAUCUUGACCUGAUAACAAUAGAUUACAUUAGUUGUUUUCAUUAGAUUAAGAAAGCACUCAACUUUCAUGAUAAGUGAUUACACAGGAUAUGAGAUCAACCAAAUUACUUCCGCCACUUUCAUCAAUCGGAUUGUCAACUGAGCCUGUUGUUGCGGUACCUCCCGAGACCAAGAACUUAACAACUUGUGCAAAAAUGGGGAACACGAGAACGUGAUAGGUGUAAGAGCAUUUUGGCGUGCACCAUAGAAUUCAUAACAGAUGUUUAUACCUAUAAUACCGUGAUAGUUGCAUUAUCCAAAGAGAAGGAAGGGUCAAAGAAGCCAAGAAUGUGUUAGCUGAUAUGGUGAAAGCUGGUAUAAAACCUGAUAUUGUUAUCCUUAACACAUUAGUGUAUGGGUAUUACUUAGUUAAUGAGGUGAAAAAAUGCGAAACAUGUAUUCAAAGUUAUGAUUCAAAUGGAAGAGUGGAUGAGGCCAUGCAAAAUAUGAGAGAAUCUCUUGUGAUUGAGAUUUUAUUGAUGAUAUGCAUGACAGAAAUCAAGAACUAAUAACUCGUUGAGGAAGUUUAUUAUCAUACUAUAUUACCUUGUUGAUAUUGA